rnacentral:rRNA from 1 species
UACGUAGGGUCCAAGCGUGAAUCGGAAUUACUGGGCGUAAAGCGUGCGCAGGCGGUUGUGCAAGACCGAUGUGAAAUCCCCGAGCUUAACUUGGGAAUUGCAUUGGUGACUGCACGGCUAGAGUGUGUCAGAGGGGGGUAGAAUUCCACGUGUAGCAGUGAAAUGCGUAGAGAUGUGGAGGAAUACCGAUGGCGAAGGCAGCCCCCUGGGAUAACACUGACGCGCAUGCAAGAAAGCGGGGGGAGCAAACAGGAGGCGAUAACCGCGUAGUCC